rnacentral:lncRNA from 1 species
AUGUUCAAGCUGGUUUUCGAAAAGGCAGAGGAACCAGAGAUCAAAUUGCCAACAUCCACUGGAUCAUGGGAAAAGCAAGAGAGUUCCAGAAAAAACAUCUAUUUCUGCUUUAUUGACUAUACCAAAGCCUUUGACUGUGUGGAUCACAAUAAACUGGGGAAAAUUCUGAAAGAGAUGGGAAUACCAGACCACCUAACCUGCCUCUUGAGAAAUCUGUAUGCAGGUCAGGAAGCAACAGUUAGAACUGGACAUGGAACAAUAGACUGGUUCCAAAUAGGAAAAGGUGUAUGUCAAGGCUGUAUAUUGUCACCCUGCUUAUUUAACUUAUAUGCAGAGUACAUCAUGAGAAAUGCUGGACUGGAAGAAACACAAGCUGGAAUCAAGAUUGCCGGGAGAAAUAUCAAUAACCUCAGAUAUGCAGAUGACACCACCCUUAUGGCAGAAAGUGAAGAGGAGCUAAAAAGCCUCUUGAUGAAAGUGAAAGAGGAGAGUGAAAAAGUUGGCUUAAAGCUCAACAUUCAGAAAACGAAGAUCAUGGAAUCUGGUCCCAUCACUUCAUGGGAAAUAGACGGGGAAACAGUGGAAACAGUGUCAGACUUUAUUUUUUUGGGCUCCAAAAUCACCACAGAUGGUGACUGCAGCCAUGAAAUGAAAAGAUGCUUACUCCUUGGAAGAAAAGUUAUGACCAACCUAGAUAGCAUAUUCAAAAGCAGAGACACUACUUUGCCAACUAAGGUCCAUCUAGUCAAGGCUAUGGUUUUUCCUGUGGUCAUGUAUGGAUGUGAGAGUUGGACUGUGAAGAAAGCUGAGCACCGAAGAAUUGAUGCUUUUGAACUGUGGUGUUGGAGAAGACUCUUGAGAGUCCCUUGGACUGCAAGGAGAUCCAACCAGUCCAUUCUGAAGGAGAUCAACCCUGGGAUUUCUUUGGAGGGAAUGAUACUAAAGCUGAAACUCCAGUACUUUGGCCACCUCAUGAGAAGAGUUGACUCAUUAGAAAAGACUCUGAUGCUGGGAGGGAUUAGGGGCAGGAGGAGAAGGGGACAACAGAGGAUGAGAUGGCUGGAUGGCAUCACGAACUCGAUGGACAUGAGUCUGAGUGAACUCCGGGAGUUGGUGAUGGACAGGGAGGCCUGGCGUGCUGUGAUUCAUGGGGUCGCAAAGAGUCGGACACGACAGAGCGACUGA